CCUACGGGUGGCAGCAGUGGGGAAUAUUGGUCAAUGGACGCGAGUCUGAACCAGCCAAGUAGCGUGAAUGAUGACUGCCCUAUGGGUUGUAAAUUUCUUUUAUAUGGGAAUAAAAUGUUCCACGUGUGGGUUUUUGUAUUUACCAUAUGCUUAAGGAUCGGCUAACUCCGUUCCAGCAGCCGCGGUAAUACGGAGGAUCCGUGCGUUAUCCGGAUUUAUUGGGUUUAAAGGGAGCGUAGGUGGAUUGUUAAGUCAGUUGUGAAAGUUUGCGGCUCAACCGUAAAAUUGCAGUUGAUACUGGCAGUCUUGAGUACAGUAGAGGUGGGCAGAAUUCGUGGUGUAGCGGUGAAAUGCGUAGAUAUCACGAAGAACUCCGGUUGCGAAGGCAGCUCACUGGACUGCAACUGACACUGAGGCUCGAAAGUGUGGGUAGCAAACAGGAUUAGAUACCCGAGUAGUC
rnacentral:rRNA from 1 species